UACGAAGGGGGGCUAGCGUUGCUCGGAAUCACUGGGCGUAAAGCGCACGUAGGCGGAUCUUUUAAGUCAGGGGUGAAAUCCCAAGGCUCAACCUUGGAACUGCCUUUGAUACUGGGGAUCUCGAGUCCGGAAGAGGUUGGUGGAACUCCGAGUGUAGAGGUGAAAUUCGUAGAUAUUUCGGAAGAACACCAGUGGCGAAGGCGGCCAACUGGUCCGGCACUGACGCUGAGGUGCGAAAGCGUGGGGAGCAAACAGGAUUAGAUACCCCGA
rnacentral:rRNA from 1 species